rnacentral:rRNA from 1 species
UACCAGCACCCCGAGUGGUCGGGACGAUUAUUGGGCCUAAAGCAUCCGUAGCCGGUCAUGCAAGUCUUCCGUUAAAUCCAGCCGCUCAACGGUUGGGCUGCGGAGGAUACUACGUGGCUAGGAGGCGGGAGAGGCAAGCGGUACUCAGUGGGUAGGGGUAAAAUCCUUUGAUCCAUUGAAGACCACCAGUGGCGAAGGCGGCUUGCCAGAACGCGCUCGACGGUGAGGGAUGAAAGCUGGGGGAGCAGACCGG